rnacentral:rRNA from 1 species
UACGUAGGGGGCGAGCGUUGUCCGGAUUUACUGGGCGUAAAGGGCGCGUAGGCGGCCACCGCAAGUCGGUUGUGAAAUCUCUGGGCUUAACCCAGAAAGGUCAACCGAUACUGCGGGGCUAGAGUGCAGAAGGGGCAACUGGAAUUCUCGGUGUAGCGGUGAAAUGCGUAGAUAUCGAGAGGAAUACCUGAGGUGAAGACGGGUUGCUAGGCCGACACUGACGCUGAAGCGCGAAAGCCAGGGGAGCAAACGGG